rnacentral:rRNA from 1 species
UACGUAGGAGGCAAGCGUUGUCCGGAAUUACUGGGCGUAAAGCGCGUGUAGGUGGUGGGACAAGUCUGCUGUGAAAGCGCCUGGCUUAACCGGGCGAGGUCGGCGGAAACUGUCCGACUCGAGGACGGUAGAGGGGGGUGGAAUUCCCGGUGUAGUGGUGAAAUUCGUAGAUAUCGAGAAGAACACCGGUGGCGAAGGCGGCCAUCUGGACGGUGACUGACGCUGAGACGCGAAAGCGUGGGGAGCAAACAGG